UCUCCGUAGGUGAACCUGCGGAGGGAUCAUUAACAUGAUUUACUUUAUAAACAAACUGUGAACUUUAUUAUCAUACUAUUCUUGUAGGGGUUAUUUUAUAAUCUUUUACAACGUCAUUCGAUGAACAUUAGAUAGUUGGCUUGUUUUUUUUUUAAUAAAAAACUUUCUCAGCUGAUUUGUUUGUUAGACUAAACAUCUAUUCAAUCAAUCAACCAAAAACAUAGAAACAACUCUAUGCCCUGGAUAUCUUGGUUCUC
rnacentral:misc_RNA from 1 species